rnacentral:rRNA from 1 species
UGGCGGCAGGCUUAACACAUGCAAGUCGAGCGGUAGCAGAUCUAGCUUGCUAGAUGCUAACGAGCGGCGGACGGGUGAGUAACGCGUAGGAACCUGCCCAGUAGUGGGGGAUAGCCCGGGGAAGCUCGGAUUAAUACCGCAUACGCUCUACGGAGGAAAGAGGGGGCUUCGGCUCUCGCUAUUGGAUGGGCCUGCGUGAGAUUAGCUAGUUGGUGAGGUAAUGGCUCACCAAGGCGACGAUCUCUAGCUGGUCUGAGAGGAUGAUCAGCCACACUGGGACUGAGACACGGCCCAGACUCCUACGGGAGGCAGCAGUGGGGAAUAUUGCACAAUGGGCGCAAGCCUGAUGCAGCCAUGCCGCGUGUGUGAAGAAGGCUUUCGGGUUGUAAAGCACUUUCAGUGGGGAGGAAGGCCUCGUAGUUAAUAGCUGCGAGGAUUGACGUUACCCACAGAAGAAGCACCGGCUAACUCCGUG